rnacentral:rRNA from 1 species
UGGGGAAUAUUGCACAAUGGGCGCAAGCCUGAUGCAGCCAUGCCGCGUGUGUGAAGAAGGCCUCGGGUUGUAAAGCACUUUCAGCGAGGAGGAAGGUGGUGAGCUUAAUACGCUCAUCAAUUGACGUUACUCGCAGAAGAAGCACCGGCUAACUCCGUGCCAGCAGCCGCGGUAAUACGGAGGGUGCAGGCGUUAAUCGGAAUUACUGGGCGUAAAGCGCACGCAGGCGGUUUGUUAAGUCAGAUGUGAAAUCCCCGGGCUCAACCUGGGAACUGCAUUUGAAACUGGCAAGCUAGAGUCUCGUAGAGGGGGUAGAAUUCCAGGUGGUAGCGGUGAAAUGCGUAGAGAUCUGGAGGAAUACCGGUGGCGAAGGCGGCCCCCUGGACGAAGACUGACCGCUCAGGUGCGAAAGCGUGGG